rnacentral:piRNA from 1 species
UGGAUGUUGAGAACCCAGAGAGACUCUGGAGC